GAUCCUGCUCAGGAUGAACGCUGGCGGCGUGCCUAAUACAUGCAAGUAGAACGCUGAAGGAAGGAGCUUGCUCUUUCCGGAUGAGUUGCGAACGGGUGAGUAACGCGUAGGUAACCUGCCUGGUAGCGGGGGAUAACUAUUGGAAACGAUAGCUAAUACCGCAUAACAGUAGAUGUUGCAUGACAUUUACUUGAAAGGUGCAAAUGCACCACUACCAGAUGGACCUGCGUUG
rnacentral:rRNA from 1 species